AUGUAAAGAUGUCUAGGUUUUAGACAUCCAACAUCGCAAACUUAUUCCAAACCUUCUCAAUUUUUUAUCAUAGCCUCUACAUGCAAUAACAUGACGUCCAGACAAGUUUCUUUAUUUUCGGACUUUUUACGGAUUUUAUAUAAUUUUAAAAUACUUUUUCCAUAAGUUUUAUCUCAUGUUACGACAACAAGAUGUUUCACAUUUCAUUUGAGCUUCUGGAUACGGUCUUAACAUACACCAAAUAUCGUGAAUAUAAUUUUUUGAAUAAAAAAAUUCCAUUAUUAAUGCACCUACAGUUCAAAUUUGAAGUUUCCAAAAAAAUCAAUGAAACAAAAAAAAACUAAUGAAAUAUACUAAAAAAAGUUUAAAUAUCCCCAAAUUUGAACAAGAAGUUUGAAAUAAUGUGGGAAGGCAUAAGAAAAAAUUUGGAGCAAAAAAACAAAAAACAAAAAAAAACUUCCCCGAGUGUAUUCCCUGGCUCUCGCGGAAGGGCCUCUUCCCCGAGUGCAAAACUCACAGCACUCGGGGAAGCCACCAUUUUCCCCGAGUGCCAAGCUUUUGCACUCUAAAGGGCCGAGAGUUUUUUAUGGAUCUCGAGGAAGAAUUUUUUUCCAUUUCAAGCUCCAACGGCGCCGUUUGUUUGGGACGUCAAGAAACACUUUUCUUCCCUGACCGCUUGUCUUCCCCG
rnacentral:lncRNA from 1 species